UACGUAGGGACCAAGCGUUGUUCGGAUUUACUGGGCGUAAAGGGCGCGUAGGCGGCAAUUCAAGUCAGCUGUGAAAUCUCUGGGCUUAACCCAGAACGGCCAGCUGAUACUGCUUUGCUAGAGUGCAGAAGGGGCAAUCGGAAUUCUUGGUGUAGCGGUGAAAUGCGUAGAUAUCAAGAGGAACACCUGAGGUGAAGACGGGUUGCUGGGCUGACACUGACGCUGAGGCGCGAAAGCCAGGGAGCAAACGGG
rnacentral:rRNA from 1 species